UCUUUGAAGGUGGGAAAAAGACUAUGUUUACCAGGUCCCUCACAGGAACUCUGUGCAGGCCCAGGAGAUGUUGGAGGCUUGUGGCAUGGCCCGGGACACUGUCCAUGGAUAUAAUAACUCAUAACUUCUUUGAGUGU